rnacentral:rRNA from 1 species
CCUACGGGAGGCAGCAGCAGGGAAUUUUGGUCAAUGGGCGAAAGCCUGAACCAGCAACGCCGCGUGGGGGAUGAAGGCUCUCGGGUCGUAAACCCCUUUUGCCGGGGAAGAUAAUGACGGUACCCGGCGAAUAAGCCACGGCUAACUACGUGCCAGCAGCCGCGGUAAUACGUAGGUGGCAAGCGUUGUCCGGAUUUAUUGGGCGUAAAGCGCGCGCAGGCGGUCCGUUUAGUCCGGGGUGAAAUCUCUCGGCUCAACUGAGAGAGGUCUUCGGAUACUGGCGGACUGGAGGAGAGCAGGGGUGAGUGGAAUUCUCGGUGUAGGGGUGAAAUGCGUAGAUAUCGAGAGGACCGCCAGUGGCGAAGGCGGCUCACUGGGCUCCACCUGACGCUGAGGCGCGAAAGCGUGGGGAGCGAACGGGAUUAGAUACCUGGGUAGU